CGAACCACACGAACGUUAUUCGGAAUUACUGGGCUUAAAGGGUGCGUAGGCUGUGCAGAAAGUUAGGUGUGAAAUCCCCCGGCUCAACCGGGGAAUUGCGCUUAAAACUACUGUGCUAGAGGAAUACAGAGGUAAGCGGAACUUCGGGUGGAGCGGUGAAAUGCGUUGAUAUCCGAAGGAACACCGGUGGCGAAAAGCGGCUUACUGGGUAUUUUCUGACGCUGAUGCACGAAAGCUAGGGGAGCAAACGGGAUU
rnacentral:rRNA from 1 species